rnacentral:rRNA from 1 species
AGCAGCCGCGGUAAUUCCAGCUCCAAUAGCGUAUAUUAAAGUUGUUGCAGUUAAAAAGCUCGUAGUUGAAUUUCGGGAUCGACGGGUCGGUCGCGCCUCUGGUGUGUACUGGCCCUGUCGGUUUCUCCCUUCUGACGAACCACGAUGUCAUUAAUUUGGUGUCGUGGGAAAUCAGGACUGUUACUUUGAAAAAUUAGAGUGUUUAAAGCAGGCAUUCGCUUGAAUACAUUAGCAUGGAAUAAUGAAAUAGGACGUUUGAUCUUAUUUUGUUGGUUUCUAAGAUCGACGUAAUGAUUAAUAGGGAUAGUUGGGGGCAUUAGUAUUCAAUUGUCAGAGGUGAAAUUCUUGGAUUUAUUGAAGACUAACUACUGCGAAAGCAUUUGCCAAGGAUGUUUUCAUUAAUCAAGAACGAAAGUUAGGGGAUCGAAGACGAUCAGAUACCGUCGUAGUCUUAACCAUAAACUAUGCCGACUAGGGAU